CAUAGGUUAAUGAGGCGAACCGGGGGAACUGAAACAUCUAAGUACCCCGAGGAAAAGAAAUCAACCGAGAUUCCCCCAGUAGCGGCGAGCGAACGGGGAGGAGCCCAGAGCCUGAAUCAGUGUGUGUGUUAGUGGAAGCGUCUGGAAAGGCGCGCGAUACAGGGUGACAGCCCCGUACACAAAAAUGCACAUAUUGUGAGCUCGAUGAGUAGGGCGGGACACGUGGUAUCCUGUCUGAAUAUGGGGGGACCAUCCUCCAAGGCUAAAUACUCCUGACUGACCGAUAGUGAACCAGUACCGUGAGGGAAAGGCGAAAAGAACCCCGGCGAGGGGAGUGAAAAAGAACCUGAAACCGUGUACGUACAAGCAGUGGGAGCCUCUUUAUGGGGUGACUGCGUACCUUUUGUAUAAUGGGUCAGCGACUUAUAUUCUGUAGCAAGGUUAACCGAAUAGGGGAGCCGAAGGGAAACCGAGUCUUAACUGGGCGUUAAGUUGCAGGGUAUAGACCCGAAACCCGGUGAUCUAGCCAUGGGCAGGUUGAAGGUUGGGUAACACUAACUGGAGGACCGAACCGACUAAUGUUGAAAAAUUAGCGGAUGACUUGUGGCUGGGGGUGAAAGGCCAAUCAAACCGGGAGAUAGCUGGUUCUCCCCGAAAGCUAUUUAGGUAGCGCCUCGUGAAUUCAUCUCCGGGGGUAGAGCACUGUUUCGGCAAGGGGGUCAUCCCGACUUACCAACCCGAUGCAAACUGCGAAUACCGGAGAAUGUUAUCACGGGAGACACACGGCGGGUGCUAACGUCCGUCGUGAAGAGGGAAACAACCCAGACCGCCAGCUAAGGUCCCAAAGUCAUGGUUAAGUGGGAAACGAUGUGGGAAGGCCCAGACAGCCAGGAUGUUGGCUUAGAAGCAGCCAUCAUUUAAAGAAAGCGUAAUAGCUCACUGGUCGAGUCGGCCUGCGCGGAAGAUGUAACGGGGCUAAACCAUGCACCGAAGCUGCGGCAGCGACACUAUGUGUUGUUGGGUAGGGGAGCGUUCUGUAAGCCUGUGAAGGUGGCCUGUGAGGGUUGCUGGAGGUAUCAGAAGUGCGAAUGCUGACAUAAGUAACGAUAAAGCGGGUGAAAAGCCCGCUCGCCGGAAGACCAAGGGUUCCUGUCCAACGUUAAUCGGGGCAGGGUGAGUCGACCCCUAAGGCGAGGCCGAAAGGCGUAGUCGAUGGGAAACAGGUUAAUAUUCCUGUACUUGGUGUUACUGCGAAGGGGGGACGGAGAAGGCUAUGUUGGCCGGGCGACGGUUGUCCCGGUUUAAGCGUGUAGGCUGGUUUUCCAGGCAAAUCCGGAAAACCAAGGCUGAGGCGUGAUGACGAGGCACUACGGUGCUGAAGCGACAAAUGCCCUGCUUCCAGGAAAAGCCUCUAAGCAUCAGGUAACAUCAAAUCGUACCCCAAACCGACACAGGUGGUCAGGUAGAGAAUACCAAGGCGCUUGAGAGAACUCGGGUGAAGGAACUAGGCAAAAUGGUGCCGUAACUUCGGGAGAAGGCACGCUGAUAUGUAGGUGAAGCGACUUGCUCGUGGAGCUGAAAUCAGUCGAAGAUACCAGCUGGCUGCAACUGUUUAUUAAAAACACAGCACUGUGCAAACACGAAAGUGGACGUAUACGGUGUGACGCCUGCCCGGUGCCGGAAGGUUAAUUGAUGGGGUUAGCGGUAACGCGAAGCUCUUGAUCGAAGCCCCGGUAAACGGCGGCCGUAACUAUAACGGUCCUAAGGUAGCGAAAUUCCUUGUCGGGUAAGUUCCGACCUGCACGAAUGGCGUAAUGAUGGCCAGGCUGUCUCCACCCGAGACUCAGUGAAAUUGAACUCGCUGUGAAGAUGCAGUGUACCCGCGGCAAGACGGAAAGACCCCGUGAACCUUUACUAUAGCUUGACACUGAACAUUGAGCCUUGAUGUGUAGGAUAGGUGGGAGGCUUUGAAGUGUGGACGCCAGUCUGCAUGGAGCCGACCUUGAAAUACCACCCUUUAAUGUUUGAUGUUCUAACGUUGGCCCGUAAUCCGGGUUGCGGACAGUGUCUGGUGGGUAGUUUGACUGGGGCGGUCUCCUCCUAAAGAGUAACGGAGGAGCACGAAGGUUGGCUAAUCCUGGUCGGACAUCAGGAGGUUAGUGCAAUGGCAUAAGCCAGCUUGACUGCGAGCGUGACGGCGCGAGCAGGUGCGAAAGCAGGUCAUAGUGAUCCGGUGGUUCUGAAUGGAAGGGCCAUCGCUCAACGGAUAAAAGGUACUCCGGGGAUAACAGGCUGAUACCGCCCAAGAGUUCAUAUCGACGGCGGUGUUUGGCACCUCGAUGUCGGCUCAUCACAUCCUGGGGCUGAAGUAGGUCCCAAGGGUAUGGCUGUUCGCCAUUUAAAGUGGUACGCGAGCUGGGUUUAGAACGUCGUGAGACAGUUCGGUCCCUAUCUGCCGUGGGCGCUGGAGAACUGAGGGGGGCUGCUCC
rnacentral:rRNA from 1 species